rnacentral:rRNA from 1 species
AAAUAAAAUAUUAUUGUUUUAAAUUGUUAAUUAUUUUUAAUAAAAAUAAUUUUAAAUAUAAAAAUUUAAGUAUUUUUUAUAGAAAAAAUUAUAAAAAUUAUAGUAUAUUAGUAUUGUAAAAGAAAUAUAAAAUAAAUUUAUUUUUAUUUAUAAGUAAAAUUUUUUUUUUGUACCUUGUGUAUCAGGGUUUAUUAAAUAAUGGUUAUUAAAAUUAAUUUUCCCGAAUUUAAAAGAGAGAAUAAAUAAUUUUUAUUAUUGUAAAAAAAAUAUUUAAAAUUAUUUAUUAGUAAUGAAAAGUUAUUCGUUUUUAAAUAUAUCUGGUUUAUGAAGAAAUAAAUUUAAUUUAGUUAAUUUUAUUUUAUUAAUUUAUUUUUUUAAAUUAAUAAAUUUAAUUAGAAAUAAUUAAAGGGAUAAGCUUUUAAUUAAAAUUUUAUAAUUUUUAUUAUUAAUUAAAAAUUUAUAGGUUUAGAAAUAUUCAUUAUUUAUAAUUUGUUGUAAUUAAUUUUUAAAUAAUUAAUAUUUUAUAAAAAUUUAAAAUUUGUAUUUAUAAUUAAUAUUUAAUUAUUAAAUAUUAGAUAUAAUGAUAAAAUUAGUAUAUAAUUUAUAUUUAUAAAUAUAAUUUUUUUUUAGGUUAUUAAAAGGAAUUCGGCAAAAAUUUUAUUCGCCUGUUUAAUAAAAACAUGUCCUUUAGAUAAUUAUAAUUUAAGGUCUAACCUGCCCAUUGAUAAGUUAAAAGGCCGCAGUAAUUUGACUGUGCAAAGGUAGCAUAAUCAUUAGUUUUUUAAUUAAAAGCUUGUAUGAAUGGUUGGACGAGAUAAAAUCUGUCUUUUUAUAAAAAAUAUAAUUUAAUUUUUAAGUUAAAAAGCUUAAAUUUUUAUAAAAGACGAGAAGACCCUAUAGAUCUUUAUAUAAUUUUUUUUUGUAUUAAUAAAGAAAAUUUAAUUUAUUAGAAAAAAUUAUAUUUUAUUGGGGUAAUAAAAAGAUUAAUUAAAUUCUUUUAUAAAAAACAAUAAUUAUUGAAUUUAUGAUCCAUUAUUAAUGAUUAUAAGAUUAAGUUACCUUAGGGAUAACAGCGUAAUUUUUUUAAAGAGUUCUUAUCAAUAAAAAAGUUUGCGACCUCGAUGUUGGAUUAAAAGUAAUUCUAGGUGCAGAAGUUUAGAAUUUUGGUCUGUUCGACCAUUAAAUUUUUACAUGAUCUGAGUUUAGACCGGCGUAAGCCAGGUUGGUUUCUAUCUUUAUUUAAGUAAUAUAUUUUAGUACGAAAGGACCAAUUAUAUAAUAUAUUAAUAUUUUAUUUUUGAAUAAAAUU